CAAAUAUAUGCAAGAAAAACCUUUGCCUUCGGGUGUAAUCAAGUUUGACUAUUUGCAUAGGGCUCGCUUGUUACUUGAUCUUGUGAUAUACAAGCAUAAUUCAGCUCCUAUUGUUGGUGAUAUCGCGCAAUAUAAAGCUGAACUCAGAGCUAGGGGUGAAUUGAAAUGGAAGUAGAGGCUAACAUGAGCUGGAAAUUAGAUUUUGUUAGUGAGACCUAUGAUGGCUUCUUGCGGGUCUUGGAGCAGCCACGACAGGAAUAUGAGAAGCCCUUUGAGAUGGUUGGUGCAUCUAUUAUGCUCUGCCUUUUAUCCAUUCCCUACUAUUCAAUUUUUUUUUUUCUAGCCAUCCAUCCCACAAG